GAUGAACGCUGGCGGCGUGCCUAAUACAUGCAAGUCGAGCGAACAGACGAGGAGCUUGCUCCUCUGACGUUAGCGGCGGACGGGUGAGUAACACGUGGAUAACCUACCUCUAAGACUGGGAUAACUUCGGGAAACCGGAGCUAAUACCGGAUAAUAUAUUGUACCGCAUGGUUCAAUAGUGAAAGACGGUUUUGCUGUCACUUAUAGAUGGAUCCGCGCCGCAUUAGCUAGUUGGUAAGGUAACGGCUUACCAAGGCAACGAUGCGUAGCCGACCUGAGAGGGUGAUCGGCCACACUGGAACUGAGACACGGUCCAGACUCCUACGGGAGGCAGCAGUAGGGAAUCUUCCGCAAUGGGCGAAAGCCUGACGGAGCAACGCCGCGUGAGUGAUGAAGGUCUUCGGAUCGUAAAGCUCUGUUAUUAGGGAAGAACAACUGUGUAAGUAACUAUGCACGUCUUGACGGUACCUAAUCAGAAAGCCACGGCUAACUACGUG
rnacentral:rRNA from 1 species